rnacentral:rRNA from 1 species
UACGAAGGGGGCUAGCGUUGUUCGGAUUUACUGGGCGUAAAGCGCACGUAGGCGGAUUGGUCAGUUAGAGGUGAAAUCCCAGAGCUCAACUCUGGAACUGCCUUUAAUACUGCCAAUCUUGAGUCCGGAAGAGGUAAGUGGAAUUCCUAGUGUAGAGGUGGAAUUCGUAGAUAUUAGGAAGAACACCAGUGGCGAAGGCGGCUUACUGGUCCGGUACUGACGCUGAGGUGCGAAAGCGUGGGGAGCGAACAGG